AUAUAGGCCGUUCCAAGAUGCUGUCAAAAUUAAAUCAAUAUGGCUACUGGAAGGCAAACAUUGAAUAUUAUUCUAUCAGGUUCUUAUGGUUUUAGAUCAUUUUAGUUGUUGUACAAAGAUUAAUUUAACAUUUUCUCUGGAAGUAUUAAUUUAGAAAGAUAAUAUGCCUCAUUGGUGUUGUGUUUUGAAGUGUGAAAUGCAAAGUAAUCGUGAUAAAGUUAGCUUUUACCACUUACCAUCAGUGCUACAUUCUAAGCACAAAACUGAACCAAUUUAACUAAAUAAGUUAUAGUUAUCAUCUGAGAGACAACAACAAUGGUAAAAUGCAAUAAAAUAUAAAGAUUUUACUAGCAAAAUGGAAAUUCCCCUGUAAUCAUCUUAUAUCUGGUAAGUUACAACAUUUGAACAUUAACGAUUUUUGAAGAUGUUAACAGUCUAAUCUUGUAGGAAAACCAGCCGACUUAACUGAUAAUAACAAUCCAGAUUGGGUUCCUUCAAUAAAUAUGGGGUAUAUAAACACAAUGAAAUGAGUUCCCCAAAAUCUAAAAUGGGAAUUAAGGUACCAAAGGAGAAUUAAAAGAAAAGGGUACCUACAAGAAAAAAUUGCUUUUUUAUUCCUCUUGAAAUGAUUUAUAAGACACUGGACUGUCUUAUAUUCUACAAAUACUAGAAUCAGCUGAGAGAAGUGGUCUACAAAAACCCAGGAAGGAAACGGAAUAUGUGGCUACGAAAGGCAAAAGAAAGGUUUACAAAGCAAAUGUGACACAUUUUUUUGAAAUAUUUAGGAAUAUCAGUAAAUUGCAUUAAAAAAAUGUAUGAAAAGAUUUUGUUCAAUAAAAAUGUUUAUAUUUA